UACGGGGGGGAGCAAGCGUUGUUCGGAUUCAUUGGGCGUAAAGGGUGCGUAGGUGGUGAUGCAAGUCUGGUGUGAAAUCUCGGAGCUCAACUCCGAAAUUGCACCGGAUACUGCGUGACUCGAGGACUGUAGAGGAGAUCGGAAUUCACGGUGUAGCAGUGAAAUGCGUAGAUAUCGUGAGGAAGACCAGUUGCGAAGGCGGAUCUCUGGGCAGUUCCUGACACUGAGGCACGAAGGCCAGGGGAGC
rnacentral:rRNA from 1 species